GAGUGCCUGCCUCGGUUUCUUAUUAACUGCCAAUCCAGAGGCCACGUUGAUGGGAAGGAAGAAGGCUUGAUCUCAGUUACCGAACUGCAGGACUGGCUCGGACCGACGAUACUUCUGCCCUCUUCCCGUCUCUGAUAGUGGCUUAGUACAGCUUCAGUGUGUGGAGCAGUCCAGCCCUAAUGGAUAGAACCUCAUCGGACUCUGAACAGCUG